AUACGUAGGGGGCGAGCGUUGUCCGGAAUGAUUGGGCGUAAAGGGCGCGUAGGCGGCCCGGUAAGUCUGGAGUGAAAGUCCUGUUUUUAAGAUGGGAAUUGCUUUGGAUACUGUCGGGCUUGAGUGCAGGAGAGGUAAGUGGAAUUCCCAGUGUAGCGGUGAAAUGCGUAGAGAUUGGGAGGAACACCAGUGGCGAAGGCGACUUUCUGGACUGUAACUGACGCUGAGGCGCGAAAGUGUUGGGAGCAAACAGGAUUAGAUACCCCGGUAGACCCCACUGUAAAAGAGGAAGGCUAGGUGUAGGGGGUAUCGACCCCUUCUGUGCCGCAGUCAACACAAUAAGCAUUCCGCCUGGGGAGUACGGCCGCAAGGUUGAAACUCAAAGGAAUUGACGGGG
rnacentral:rRNA from 1 species